AACAACCGAAGUUGGCGGUCGACGUCUCAGACUAAUAUCCGUCCGGGCAGUCUCCCCGGAAGGUCAGACCCGUGAAAACGGUCUUUAAUGAGGCCAACGACAGUCGGGGCAUGUUUGGAUGUAGAGAAGCCUGAGUCCACUCGAGUGACGCUCGGGGCAAUGCCAACUACGAGCAAAGAAGAAGUUAAAUGAAAAGUAGAAAUUCCUCCCCUAUAUUAACUUCUGUGACGUUUAGCUAGCUAAACGGUUUGGCUAAGACUUGGCAGAACAGUGGAGAUGGAUGGCUACACCUGACCAACGUAGUCUCUGCCGUGUUAGCAACGACGUGAGCUGGUUUAGCUCGGACUACUGUCUGUCCCUGAGCUUGGGUGGCCCUACUCACUUUUGUUGUACUUCCCACGGUUCGAAACGGUUUUCUCAGUUGCUGCAGCAUUUGGCUGCACUGUAGGUGUACAUCGGUUACGAGAGAAGCGUUUCCUAAUGGACAUCUUCGAUGUCACACCACUUCCUGCCAGCUGACAUUUGGUGGGCUACCAUGUUGUGCAGAUUAUCUGACAAUAACAUAAACGUGACCAACUGCUACUGAUGUUUCAAGAACUUAAAGCAACUUUUGGCAUUUGCAGAGGCAAAUACAGAGAGGCCCUGAAAAGGUUCCUAUUCAUAACUCCUGUCAGUCUGGGAGCAGCUACACAGACCAAGACACCACAUCCGCAGUCGUAUCGUCAGCUAUUCAGUUAAGAGCCAGUUUGUAUAAAUAUCUUAAGAUGUAAAUGUCAAUAAUUUUUGAAAAACAUCCACUGUAUGUGAAAAGUGGAAAGCACUUCGGUGGCUGGCAAAACACAACACUGCAUGUUAACCCCAAACAACGCUAUUUAUACUUUUAAUGUUUUUAAUGGUGCUGAAAUAAUGUAUUUGCCACUUAAAUAAAAUGAAUCACACAUCUUUUA